CAGUAGCCGCGGUAAUACGUAGGGCGCAAGCGUUAUCCGGAAUUAUUGGGCGUAAAGAGCUCGUAGGCGGUUUGUCGCGUCUGCCGUGAAAGUCCGGGGCUCAACCCCGGAUCUGCGGUGGGUACGGGCAGACUAGAGUGAUGUAGGGGAGACUGGAAUUCCUGGUGUAGCGGUGAAAUGCGCAGAUAUCAGGAGGAACACCGAUGGCGAAGGCAGGUCUCUGGGCAUUAACUGACGCUGAGGAGCGAAAGCAUGGGGAGCGAACAGGAUUAGAUACCCCUGUAGUCCCUGUCUUCUUAUU
rnacentral:rRNA from 1 species